rnacentral:misc_RNA from 1 species
UCUCCACAGUUACGUGGUAGGAUACGCAACCCUAUGAUCCGGCCCUCGKGGAGGAGGAGACAUGCUCUCUCCGAAAUGGCGAUAACCGGGUACAUGUCUUGCCUCUUCCUCUCCACAGUUACGUGGUAGGAUACGCAACCCUAUGAUCUGGCCCUCAUGGAGGAUGAGACAUGCUCUGUCUGAAAUGGCGAAUAACCGGGAACAUGUCUUGCCUCUWCCUCUCCACAGUUACGUGGUAGGAUACGCAACCCAUAUGAUCCGGCCCUCAUGGAUGAUGAGACAUUCCCAAUGCUCUCUCUGAAAUGGCGAUAACCGGGUACAUGUCUUGCCUCUACCUCUCCACAGUUACGUGGUAGGAUAUGCAACCCUAUGAUCCGGCCCUCAUGGAGGAUGAGACAUGCCCGCUCAAAAGCGACAACUGGCUCGGCGGUUGCGUUUGUCUUUCCACGCAAGUGGAAUUGCAGGGUAACUACCGACGCUGGACGUCACCGA